CAAAUGUAUAUGCCCAUACGUCAUACCGACUGCAAACAUUUCGCGUGUGAAAAAAUUGUUGACCCGACCGUUCGACGAGAAGAAAACGAAAUAAUUAACUCGGAACGCUGCGUUCUUCUCGUCAUGUAACUAAAAUAGACGGAGAGUUUGCGUAAUCGCAAUGGGGUUGGAAGCUGCGCGUAUUAAGCCGCGGGACAAGAUCGUGAAAAACAUGGAACGCCGGUGAAUGUAAAUUCUCGGCAAACAAAGGUUGAGACGGUGCAUGAAAAAUAAACACAGUUUAUCUGCGGACUCGUUCGAGGAAGUUGUUGAACGCGCAUUAACGUCGUUGUAAAAGUUGUUAAUCGGGAGAGCUUUGACGCAUCUUGAUAAAUGUUCUAAUACCGAUGUGAAGUGAGCUAAGCCGGCCGUUUAUCGCCGCGUCUCCUUGGGUAUUGAACUUUUUACUUCUAAACUAAUCUUUCUGACGAACCGGUUCAAUCGAGGGAUCAUCUUAUCUCUGCAAUAACACUCAUGAUUCUUACGAUCUAUUGUCGGUGGAACGUGUUUGCCCGAGAGCAGCAAACACUACCGUGUUUAUUUCAACGAGACGCACGGCUCUAAAUAUAAUUGGGAGAAGAAACGAGUCGCGAAGAUUUCCGGCCUGAACUGUCGGUCUCAACGUAGAAGAGACACGAUUCUGAUCUUUGAUCGUUAGCACCAAACGUAGAAGAGGACGGCGAAUGUAAAGAGAAAGGAAGUGCGAUCGAUCGAGCUACGCACGCGUCCGACGGAACCACUGCCGUACUUUACUCUGCACGAGACUAGGAUUUAUUCACUUCCUCUUUCCCGACCUCUGAAUCACAAUCGCUCGACAAAGGAAUUGAUACAUGCAACAAUCAGAAGACGUUUCCCAUUUCUUUCAUAGGAACGAACUCGCAGUUCCUUUACCGCUUUCUAUUAUCGAAUACGGUAGGACAACAAACAUAUUAUGACGGCACGCAGCAGACGGACAUAUCGUUUAUUGCUUCAAACGAUUAAAAAAUCCAAGUCAUGCAAUCAGUCAUGUCAAAAUCAAGCUGAUCGUUUGUCGCCCUGAGCUGUUCAAUCAUGAUCGAACAUCACUUACUGUUCCAAGAGAUAAUAGAAUUGUAAGAUACAUUAAAGGGCUCGAAGAGAAUGUUUAGAUUAAUACCAGUUAAUGCAAUUGCACUUUGAAACGAUGGCGGGAGGAAAAGUGUAACGAUAACAAGGUCGUAACAUGACAUACUCUCAAAUUAAUAUUGCUCGAAGAAUGCAGUAACAACAAUGACGUCACUGCAAACGCAAGUACUCUGUUAAAUGUGUAAUGUGUAUGUGCCGGACAAGCGAACCGAGCUACGAGCUUGACGAGAUAAAUAUGUAUACAUAUUUGAAUUCGUCAUCGCGUACUGCCGACUCUUGAUAUAUCCCGUCGCACAAAUGUUUCCAUCUCCUUCGGUCACCUGUUUUGAUUACGAUCAUUCAUCAAAAUCUAAUUCCCGGUUAUUGCAUUAUUCAAAAUUCGAUGAUGUGAAUUACUUAAUAUUUUCCUGCUGGCUACUUCGAAUAUUUCUGUUCCGAAUGCCAGGCACCCCAGUCGGUUGAUGAAAUAUAUCUAUCAAAUUAUUAGUCGAGUACAGAUAAGAUACAUGCUUAUCAGCAUUGAACACGAAUGGAAGGAUAAGAGGUGUGUCCGACGUUACAUAUUCCACCUAAUAUUUCACUUGAUACAGAGGCCUAUCGCCGGAUUAAGUAGGAUUUACGAUAUGUAAGAGACAUUAAUUUUGUAUUAAUCAGUUGUGUUUAUUUUUUCUGUUUGACACAUUGAAACGGGUAAACAAAAUUGCGAGCGUGUCACAGACGCUUAUGUACGUACGUUGCGUCAUUAUGACAAUAAUAUCUUCGUUCCGUGGCCGAUAAAAAUAUAUACGCGUUUUCACUUCGCGCGUCCAAUUGCAGUUCCGACAUAAAUCAUCAUCAAUCGAUUGACCCUUUCAUCACGAGCGCGGAACAAUAAUAAUUGUGGCCCUAUCUGUCGAACUACGAUAUCAUCCUCAUCUAUUAUCCGAUCUCAAAUUGUAUUUAGAGAAGAUACGAAAAAUGUCAGUCACGUAUAACUUACCAAAAGAAUUAGUUAGGAUAUGGAGGAAUAGGAAAAUCCAUUUCUGAGCUAACAGAGCGAAAUAAACUUCAUAUAUAUAUAUAUAUAUAUUAAAAACAAAUUAGUGGAAGACUACCAAUCACGUAUAAUAUAUGGCAUACCAAAAAAUUAGCGUAUGUUGAAAGAGUGCAUUUUUUCUGUCACCAUGAUUUACAUAAAAGUCUUACGAUUUCCUGUGGUAUUUUCGAGAUCAGCAAAGGAACGUCAAUGAGGGAAUUAAAUUUCGUUAAGCAAACAGCAUGGUGUAAUUAUGUACUAAGCUGUGAAUUUCGAACGACCGCGGAAACAAGCGAUAACGAGGUGGUAAAAUAUACUGGUAAUUAACAAAUUACCCGUACUUAAUAUAAGUAGUCAUAAUAGGUAUAGUAAUAGUAUACAAGUUGUUUGCGUAAGUUAUUUCACGUAUGCCCAUCUCGUGCAUCUUCUGUUAACACGUUUAUUACGUUAUUUACUACGAUAUUCGUAAGGGAUUGAAUAAAUAGUAAUUAUAAUCGUAGGAAAGAGUGAGAACAUGUUUAUAGCAAUUCGUACACGUGUCUCACUUAGGGGCAAAGGUAGAUUCGAAAUCUUGUAUACGAAAUCUGAUAACUACCGCGCGAUAGCAAUACUCAUCGAAAUUGAUAUCAAGAUCGUUCUAAAUGCAUAAGAGCAGUUCUCUUUACAUGAAUUCUUUUUACGGCGUCGUUAUCUUUAUCGCGGAGUGGAUUAAUAUAUGGUAAGACAAGAGCGUAAUAACAAUUUCGACAUGCAUUUUUCACGACUCUUGUUAUUGGGAGAACAAGAUACGAAGACCGAGGAGAAUAAAAACUUAAUUACCGAUAAACAGACGUCGAAAUGUUCUAUUUAUAUCCCGCCUGGUCGAUUGGGAGUUAAAAAUAGGCCGGUUGCAACGAACUGCGUUCCUUUCAACGAUAUCGAUUGUUUUCCUGGUGAAUGAGACUGCGGCCGAACGUUAAAGACUUCGUAGACCUAAUUACGACUCUAAAUAUAGCGAGGAAAGGUUCAAAGCGAUCGUGUAAGAAGAGCUCAGAAUGGAAAAACGGAAAUUGUCCGGCGGGCUUCGCCGAGGCCGGGUUUAAUUGUGGCGUGUCGUUUGGUUCUACGGCCUCUUCUUCAUUAAUUUAAUUGUCCGUUAUCAGCCGGAAUGUCGAUCGGCACGGCAUUUGUUCGGUUGCCGAGAGAGCUCGAAAUACAAACUGGAAUCUGGCGGUGGCCUACUAAUCUCCCAAGGGAGUUGAUUGCGCGGAACGCCGGGUAAGAGACGCGGGUUCUUGCAAAACGCCUCCGACAUUGUAAUCACGGAAUUACAACGCGAUUACUUCGUCCAUGUUCACUGACAUCACGGGAUAAAGUUCGAUUCUUAUUCCUCUCAAAUAUUUGAUCGAAAGAACAUAGGUGCUGUUGGAUACUCCAACAUCUGUACGACUCCUAACAAAGAAUUAAGCAACGGUCACCGAAGACCUCUACUUUUUUCGAGGACCUUUUGACAAAGGGUAUCCACCCCAUGGUUUUUUCCUUUCCGGACACUCUGUCUUUAGCUCUUGUAACUUUCAUGAAAUUUACUUCCUCUUUUUCAUAUACUUAUUUCUAUAGUUCAUAAGCACUAUUCAUUUAUGUUAAUAAGCUUAAAGUUAAUCUAGUGUUAAAGUAGAUUCAUUCCUUAACCAGUCCUACAGUUCACUUCGUAUAUCUUCUACUCCUGAGCAAUCUGAAUAAACUCUACAUCUACACACACAACUGGAAUCCUUAUUCGCGGGAACACAACAGUGCAUACAAAAGUUUCUGUAAAAUCUCAAGUAUUUCGUUCGAGUAAUACAUCAAUUACUUAUUUUCACAUAUUCUUAAAUGAUCGUUUCAUCAUCUUAAA